UAACAGAAACGCUAAUUCAGCUGUGAUGCUGCCGAUAUUGAAACGCUAGCGAUCUGAAGGUCUCCCCUGUAGCUAGAUACCUGAAAAUAACAAAUUAAGUAUUGGUAAAAAAAAUCGAUGUACAUUUCAUAUGCUUCGUGAGUAGAUGUAGAUGUUUGCGCUUGAUUAAAAAUUUACUGGUAUUGAUACCCUGUAUAUUAUUUUAUCCCCUAUAACGUUUGUCAGCUAUAGCUGUAACACGCUUUUAUUUUUUAAAAGCUCUCUUCACACAGAAACGGCCAUUUAUAUUUAUAGCAACUUAAAUUUUGCCAAUAAAAAUCGUGGUGCACUUCAUUUUAUCAAUAGUUUAAAUGAAUUUUUAGAAAAAGUGUGCCAAAUAAGGUGGAAAAAUAUCCGCGAUUAUUACCAAAAGAAGAAACGCGAGGUAAUAAAAGCACAGAAAACUGGUUCAGCCAGGAACACAAAUGUGGAAAACUUUGGUGCCAAGUACAAACAUUUAAGCUUCCUGGACAAUACCUCAAUCGUAGAGAGAAAAUCAAUUAGUAAUAUCAAUGAAGAAAGUAACUCACAAAAUCAGCAAUCAGAUAAUAUUUCCACUAAAUCACAAGACGUUGGAUGAAUCACAAGCAGCUGUAAGUGAUAUAGAGGAUUCUCAAGAGAUGGUUAACUCCCAAGUCUCUCCGGUUACUGAGGUCUUUCCCAAUACGCAAGAAUCUCACGAGAACCAACCUACAGCAGUGGAAGAAUCUUUCAUAUCCCCAACUACUACAUCCCAACGCAAAAGAAAGUCUAUACCAAAAGAACGAGGUGCUGCAGUAGUGGAAGAAAUUAAGAAAGGCCGAAUUGAAAGAACCAAGUUGAUGAAAGAGUUGCUAGACUUAAGUAAUAACAAAACAAAAGAGGAUGACACCGCACUUUCAACGUUCUUUCGUAGUAUUGCUUUAACAGUUGAACAACUUCCUCCAGACUUACAAACAACAGCAAAAAUUAAGGUAAUGCAAGUCAUUUCUGAACUAGAGUUUCAACACCAGCAAAGAAGCAUGAUAAACCAUGAUUUCCGAUCUGCUUCAACUAGUAGCCAAUCAGGAACCUCAAGUGCAGCUUCCUACUUCCAAGCCUUUUCUCCCCAAAACAGUCCAAUGGCAAUGUUUCCACCGAAUGAAUCUGGUGACCUAUAUCAACAUUUAUGAAUACUUUAAAUAAAUUCGUAUAUUAUUAAUAUAA